rnacentral:rRNA from 1 species
UACGGGGGGAGCAAGCGUUGUUCGGAUUUACUGGGCGUAAAGGGCGCGUAGGCGGUCAGCACAAGUCAGUUGUGAAAUCUCCGGGCUUAACUCGGAAAGGUCAACUGAUACUGUGCGACUAGAGUGCGGAAGGGGCAACUGGAAUUCUCGGUGUAGCGGUGAAAUGCGUAGAUAUCGUAAGGAAGACCAGUGGCGAAGGCGGGUCUCUGGACAGUUCCUGACACUGAGACACGAAGGCCAGGGGAGCAAACGGG